rnacentral:rRNA from 1 species
UACAGAGGGUGCAAGCGUUAAUCGGAAUUACUGGGCGUAAAGCGUGCGUAGACGGUCAUGUAAGUCGGGUGUGAAAGCCCCGGGCUCAACCUGGGAAUUGCAUUCGAGACUGCAUGGCUAGGGUGCGGAAGAGGGAAGCGGAAUUUCCGGUGUAGCGGUGAAAUGCGUAGAUAUCGGAAGGAACACCAGUGGCGAAAGCGGCUCUCUGGGCCUUGCCUGACGCUGAGGCGCGAAAGCUAGGGGAGCGAACAGG